CAGAAAUGCGUGGAGCACACACCCACUUCCAGAUCCUGCAGUGGGGGAGGCAGAGCGGCAAAGAAAGAAGAGGCAACAGAAGACAUUUCUGGUUGGAUAACCCAACACCAAUCCUAACUCUCUUCUCCCAUGCCAGUUUCCACUAUAGAGAUGCUCAUCGGAAAAACCAGGAGGUUUGUGUUUCUACUACCUGCUCAGCAGUCACCUCAGGCUGAUGCAGGGCGUCUCAUGGUACUCUGCUCUCCGGCUUCUGUGUUCAUAUUUGGAUUUCCUCUUACUUGUUUACCCAGCUCGAGUGUCAAUCCUACAGUCCUUAACUCCCUCAGCCUCUAGGAUGGAGCCUUGCACAC